UACGUAGGGGGCAAGCGUCAUCCGGAUUUACUGGGUGUAAAGGGAGCGUAGACGGCGGCGCAAGCCAGAUGUGAAAGCCCGGGGCUCAACCCCGGGACUGCAUUUGGAACUGUGCUGCUAGAGUGUCGGAGAGGCAGGCGGAAUUCCUAGUGUAGCGGUGAAAUGCGUAGAUAUUAGGAGGAACACCAGUGGCGAAGGCGGCCUGCUGGACGAUGACUGACGUUGAGGCUCGAAAGCGUGGGGAGCAAACAGG
rnacentral:rRNA from 1 species